UGGUUUCUACUGGGCCCAAAUGGAAACGCAUACAACAAUUAGGUUGGGUUCUUAGGCUCAAGGCCGGGGGAGGUAAGUUUUCCCAAUAUUAAUUACAAUCACAUAGAGGUGAGUAAAUCUUCAAGCUGGCUUUUCUCCUACUUCCACGGUUCUAAGGCAUCUCCAACUUUCUCCCCUUCCUCCCUCACAUAAAAACCACAUUUUAACAAUGUAAGAUCACGGAGGCGAGGUUCAUUUCCUUACUCAUGUUGUUUAACCCAAGCAACCUCUAGCCGGUGGGUUGAAACUCCACUGGCCUUUUGUGGCAGUGCCCUUUGUACCCCGCACCCCACUUUCUUUGCCUAAUUAGUUUAAGUGGACGCUGGUUCUGGUCUCUUGUCCCCACACGGCCACAUCAGCCAGGCCUCACGAAUUUGUUUUCCAGAAAUUUCUGAGCUGCCCUCUUUUAGCUCGGGCCUGAUCUCCUCUUACUCUGGGCUAGGGAGUAUCUUCCCCUCCCAGCCCCGUUCCCUAAGCCAGUCACUCAGGGCUUUUACCUGAAGUAAAAGCUCUUCCUACGCUUUUCUCCCCUGGGGAAAGUUCCCGCCCACUCAGAACGUGACUUCAGGCGCUGAACUCAGCGCUUCCAUUGGCCAAGCCAGGCCCCGCCCCUGAUGCAGCCCACCCCUCGACUUCCGGCGGAGGCCCACAGGCUAGGGGGCUCACAGGAUAUUGGAACCCUACGUGUACGGUCCGGUUGUCACCAACGUCCUCUCUUAGGUGAAUGUUUCAAGCAUCAAGAUAGAGGAAAAGAUGAAAAAGAGGAGAGACUAAAAGCUAUAAUGUGAAGAACUUUGCUCUACCACAUGCUCCCCGCAAUGAUGUUUUAGAUGUUUAUGAACCUCACUAUAUGUCCCAAAGCAACUGGGCUAACCAAUGGAUUGAAACCUCCAAAACUGUGGG